rnacentral:ncRNA from 1 species
UAGCCAGUGAUCCAGAGAUUUCCGAAUGGGGCAACCCCCAUAGUUAACACUAUGGACUAUAUACUGAAUACAUAGGUAUAUAGAGGUAAACCCGGGGAACUGAAACAUCUAAGUACCCGGAGGAAGAGAAAGAAACAUCGAUUUCCUAAGUAGCGGCGAGCGAAAGGGAAAGAGCCCAAACCUAAGCCUUUGGCUUAGGGGUUGUGGACAGAACAUAAAAGAAGACAGGAAUUAAUUGAAGAUAGCUGGAAAGCUACUCCGUAGAAGGUAAUAGACCUGUAAAUGAAAAUGGAAGUCUUCGAGUUCUGAUCCAGAGUACCACGAGACACGUGAAACCUUGUGGGAAGCAGGGAGGACCACCUCCCAAGGCUAAAUACUACCUAGUGACCGAUAGUGAAGAAGUACCGUGAGGGAAAGGUGAAAAGAACCCCGGGAGGGGAGUGAAAUAGAACCUGAAACCGUGUGCCUACAACCGGUGGAAGCACUUUAUAUGUGUGACCACGUGCUUUUUGUAGAACGAGCCACGAGUUACGAUAUGCGAGGUUAAGUACUA